CAUUACUAUAUCAUAAACAUCACAUUUAUCCAAACUACAAGCUAGAACUAGCACAUUUUCAUUUCACUGGUGGAAUCAAGAAGUUUCGACUCCCUGUGUAUUGGUCUGCUCAUAGUGAACCUCAAAGUCCGGCAUUCAUUGUGAAUACUGAUACCGCACGGCAGGUAGAGGGGACGUGCACAAAAACUUGAAUAAUGGUGCUGUUUACUUCGAACGACCAAUACACAUUAAUCUCAGGGCUUCUCUAGGCAAUUUUUGAGAAAACGUUUAUUUUUCACUGUUUGUCCUCAUGUCCGUGUGAUGUUUUAUGCCUGGCUGUCCUAAUUACAAACAAGCGUCAUCUUUCACCAUUCUACCUACAAGACUCACCCUGAUUCUGCUACUAUCAAGAAUGAUGCGGUGACCAAAGAUUAUCAGAGGGAUUUUCAGGCUGAACUGAUGGGGAAUCCAUUUCGACGACAGCUGAGAAGUGAUGCGAUACCAUCAAUUUUUUUCCUUCACAACAAAACAGAAGAUUCUUUAUUAGAGGUUAUCUGGAGUCAUUCCACAGUGCCCUGCUGAAAAAUACCCCAAAGAGGAGGCAUUUUGGGUACACAAGCAUGAGGAACGGGACACACCUUGCAGGAGACGUGCAGUACCAGCAAAUCUUCUUCAAGAGGACCUAACAGUUGGUGGUUAAGAAGCCCUACUCCACUUUCGGCAGAGUCUUAUCCAGCUGGCCGUUCACCGCGACAGGACAAGCCCAUCGCCAUAAGCACAAAGAGUCUUGGCUUCCCAAGCCAACCAUUGCCAGUGUACUGAAGCCUGAUAAAUAAAAUCAAAUUGCAUUGGUCGCAUACA